rnacentral:rRNA from 1 species
UACGGAGGGUGCAAGCGUUGUCCGGAAUCACUGGGCGUAAAGGGCGCGUAGGCGGCUCAUGAAGGCUGUGGUGAAAGUCCGGGGCUCAACCUCGGAUCGGCCGUGGCGACUCGUGGGCUGGAGCACUGUAGAGGCGGGUGGAAUUCCGGGUGUAGCGGUGGAAUGCGUAGAGAUCCGGAAGAACACCAGUGGCGAAGGCGGCCCGCUGGGCAGUGGCUGACGCUGAGGCGCGACAGCGUGGGGAGCAAACGAGGAUUG